rnacentral:rRNA from 1 species
UACGUAGGUGGCGAGCGUUGUCCGGAAUUACUGGGUGUAAAGGGAGCGCAGGCGGGAGAGCAAGUCAGCUGUGAAAACUAUGGGCUUAACCCAUAGACUGCAGUUGAAACUGCUUUUCUUGAGUGGAGUAGAGGUAGGCGGAAUUCCGAGUGUAGCGGUGAAAUGCGUAGAUAUUCGGAGGAACACCAGUGGCGAGGGCGGCCUACUGGGCUCUAACUGACGCUGAGGCUUGAAAGUGUGGGGAGCAAACAGGAUUAGAUACCCUGGUAGUCCACACUGUAAGCGAUGAUUGCUAGGUGUGGGGGGUCUGACCCCUUCCAUGCCGCAGCUAACGCAAUAAGCAAUCCACCUGGGGAGUACGGCCGCAAGGUUGAA